CCUACGGGUGGCAGCAGUGAGGAAUAUUGGUCAAUGGGCGCGAGCCUGAACCAGCCAAGUAGCGUGAAGGAUGACUGCCCUACGGGUUGUAAACUUCUUUUAUAAAGGAAUAAAGUGAGGCACGUGUGCCUUUUUGUAUGUACUUUAUGAAUAAGGAUCGGCUAACUCCGUGCCAGCAGCCGCGGUAAUACGGAGGGUCCGAGCGUUAUCCGGAUUUAUUGGGUGUAACGGGAGCGUAGAUGGGUUGUUAAGUCAGUUGUGAAAGUUUGCGGCUCAACCGUAAAAUUGCAAUUGAUACUGGCAGUCUUUAGUACAGUUGCGGUAGGCGGCAUUCGUGGUGUCGCGGU
rnacentral:rRNA from 1 species